UGGUUUCGCUUUUUAGCAUGUGACAUGAAACACUCAAGUGUGCACGUGCAGACCGAUGAGGAACAGCUUGUUGACACGGCGGUCAGAGUCCUUAUUGACCGGCUUGCUUCUUGCUCAGGUGCCCAGGAUCAUGAACAAGUGGCUGGCCUUCCUGUUUUUGUUUGGACUCUGCGUUGUUUUGGCCGGUUCCGAGACAAGUCCGGGCCCGAUGACAUUAAACCUGGUCCGUAGCCAACUUGACGCGGCUCAGGUCUGUUCGACCUGUUAUCCAUUGAGCUUAUCCGAAGCUAGGUGGAGCUCUCGAUCACUGUGAAGAUAUGGUCAUGGGACCAAAGGGCGUCGGGGGAUCUUCAAGCUGCAUCAAAGCAGUCUUUUUGCCUGGCAUCUCCUCUUGCUGGCUACUUUAACCGUCCAAACCACCACGUACUAGAAGACCCCGGGACCCCAACUGUGAAAGGAGCCGUCCACUGGCGUCGAGAAUGCCGGGUGCGAGAGUCAAGUGCACAUAUGUCUGCAAAGGAUCCCCUGUGCGGGUAGGUUAUGAACCGGAAGGAACGUUUUGCACGCGCCGUGGUAAGAAACGAGCUCCAGGUGUAUGCAAGGACGGCAAGUGCGUAAAACCUGAUAACUCAACCAUAUAACCUCUUCUCCAUGCGUCAAGUCGGACUACAGCAAUUCCUGCGUCCUUAAAGUUAACCCACGUAGCAAGACCUUGCUGUAAUAAAAUAAAACAGGCGAACUGUUAACAAGCCUAUUUUAUGUGAUUCA